rnacentral:rRNA from 1 species
UUAAACUGGAGAGUUUGAUCCUGGCUCAGAACGAACGCUGGCGGCGUGCUUAACACAUGCAAGUCGAACGGGAUCCAGAGCUUGCUCUGGUGAGAGUGGCGCACGGGUGAGUAACGCGUGGAUAACCUGCCCUGGUAUCUGGAAUAACAUCUCGAAAGGGG